AUUGAACGCUGGCGGCAGGCCUAACACAUGCAAGUCGAACGGUAACAGGAAGAAGCUUGCUUCUUUGCUGACGAGUGGCGGACGGGUGAGUAAUGUCUGGGAAACUGCCUGAUGGAGGGGGAUAACUACUGGAAACGGUAGCUAAUACCGCAUAACGUCGCAAGACCAAAGAGGGGGACCUUCGGGCCUCUUGCCAUCGGAUGUGCCCAGAUGGGAUUAGCUAGUAGGUGGGGUAACGGCUCACCUAGGCGACGAUCCCUAGCUGGUCUGAGAGGAUGACCAGCCACCCUGGAACUGAGACACGGUCCAGACUCCUACGGGAGGCAGCAGUGGGGAAUAUUGCACAAUGGGCGCAAGCCUGAUGCAGCCAUGCCACGUGUAUGAAGAAGGCCUUCGGGUUGUAAAGUACUUUCAGCGGGGAGGAAGGGAGUAAAGUUAAUACCUUUGCUCAUUGACGUUACCCGCAGAAGAAGCACCGGCUAACUCCGUG
rnacentral:rRNA from 1 species